GGGGGCGAACUGGUAUCGACCGGAUAACUGAAGCGUUUGGCUGCGUGCCGUGGUUGGUCAGCAGGCCACGUAAAAAAGCCGACCACUAUCUUCAAUUGCCGAAGAUAACCUUGCUUUGGCUGCCUAAUUAGGCUGCCCCGGCUGAGGGGUUUUGUCGGAGAGCCCUGAAUGCCCGGUUGCCAAUUCCGACUCGUCGCGGGUCAUUGCCAGGCACGCCCGAGAUUAAACCCUGUUCCCGGCUGGUCGUUGACGCAUCGGGUCGCUACGAGACGCCGACGGCGAGAACCAAAUAAGCGACUACGCACGUAGAGGCCGCCGUGGAUUUAUCGCGGGACGCGGGUUCGAUUCCCGCCGCCUCCACUU
rnacentral:tmRNA from 1 species